UGUCAAUGAGCUCGAGGAACUAAAAGAGAAAUAAAUUAUUUCAAAUAAUCAAAUAAGCCCACACAAAGUUAUGUAUACAAACAAAAGAAGAUGGUAUCAAAAUAAUAUGGUAUUCAAAUAACAAAUUUCGCUAGUAAGACACCGUAUUGCCAUACUAAAGUGAAGAAAGUCAUCUGCACAACAACUAGAUCUUGGUUCCGUCAAUCAGACAUGGCUAAUCUCUUAGACAUAUGUAAAAAUAAAAAGAAGUGACUAAGAUAUAAUCUGAUUAAUGUUUGCAGCACUUAUUGUGAAACAACAAACAAGAACAAAGAUCUGAACUGCAAAGGAUACAGAAGUGACCAAUAAACUUCUACAGCUCUUAGUCUAAUUCACAGUUCAGGAAAGCACAAAAGGCAAAAGAUCUCAGAUUUAUUAAUUAUAAUAGCAAACCAAACAUGAGGAAAAUAAAUGCAAAUAAAAUUUUCAAUUGGUAUGAUAACAAAAUGGUAAUAAUGUCAUCACGUUUUAGAGGGUAGUAGAUUUAGUGUGAUCGAAGUUCUAGGAUAAUCCCUUUCGCUAUUGUGUGAAAAUAUAGAGCACAAUACAACUAUAAAAUAUAUUAUUCUAUCAAAAAGACCAUAAAAAUAAUAAUAUCAUAAUAAUAAGUACUAGGUAUAUGUCUGUGCGUUGCCACGAGGCGGGUAGCGUGGGGGCGGCGCCUAGGCUGUAAAUAUAAUUAUUGUUUAUUUCUAAACACUAAAAUACAUGUAGUCUGGUGGUUAGCCCCAAAUUAUUAGAGCAGAGGGGUGUGGGUUCGAGUGCUUGCUUUGCACUAUUUUUUACGGGUGCUGGGUGUGGGGAGUGUGAAGCCAUGGUAGUAUAGGUGCCAACAUUAGCUUCUUAAUAGAUUAGUAUAGAAGUAUAGAUAUAGAUUCCCGUAUCAUCAUCUGCCAUCUUGUGACUCCUAGUCCUAGGAAAUAAAAGAACUAAGGCCUAGAGCCUAGCGGUGUGGAGUCCUUUUACCUGUCAUCCCAUCACUGCCUGAUUUAAGGUCAGGGCCUAGGAUUUAAAAACACAUCUUAGGUUUGCUGAUAACUUCACAUCACUUUACUUUGGCGAAGGAUGAAACAGAACAUCACACUUUUGUUAAUGUAGCGGUUGAGAGAACCCAUUCCUUGUUGUCAUGAUCCCUCUUAUGAGGGAAAAGUUUGGUAGGAAGGCUUCCGUAGUUUACCAACUAAGGGAAAAUAAUUAUCCGUAUUUGAUAUGUGAUUCUUUGACUUUUUGAUUUGAUGUCAAUCCAAUUAUAACUGCUGUGAUAACUAUUGACAUAUUUUUCUUUUUCCAAUUGCAGCACUACUAAUAUUUUAUGGCAUGCAACAUUACCUGUCAAUAGCUGGUUCACUUGUCUUUGUUCCUUUGAUACUCGUACCUGCAAUGGGUGGUUCUGAUGAGGAUACCGCAACAGUCAUAUCCACCAUGUUAUUAGUCUCUGGUCUUACUACAAUACUACAUACUUUUUUGGGUUCUCGGCUUCCACUGAUUCAAGGAAGCUCCUUUGUAUAUUUGGCUCCAGCGUUGGUAAUUGCGAACUCCGAGGAGUUCAGAAAUCUUAGUGACAAUAAAUUCAAGCACAUAAUGAGGGAACUACAGGGGGCUAUACUUGUUGGUUCAGUAUUCCAGAUAAUAUUAGGAUACACUGGUCUUAUGUCACUGUUUCUGAGGUUAAUAAAUCCAGUAGUGGUGGCACCAACUAUUGCUGCAGUGGGUUUGGCAUUUUUUAGUUAUGGUUUCCCUCAGGCUGGCAGCUGUGUAGAAAUCAGCAUGCCCCUCAUUCUGUUGGUUCUUCUGUGCACUCUGGUGCCCCUCAGUGUUGCAAUUGUAUGGGCUUAUGCAUUCUUUCUAACUGCUGGUGGAGCAUAUAACUUCAAAGGCUGCCGCUCAAACAUACCCAGUUCAAACAUAUUGUUGGAUUCAUGCAGAAGGCAUUUAGAGACCAUGAGGCGCUGCCGUACCGAUGUUUCUACUGCGUGGAAAACUGCUGCCUGGGUGAGGGUUCCCUAUCCGUUCCAAUGGGGCCCUCCAACAUUCCAUUUCAAGACAGGUAUCAUCAUGAUAAUAGUUUCUCUGGUUGCUCCAGUUGAUUCGCUUUCAUCGUACCAUGCCGCUUCACUGCUGGUAAAUCUAAGCCCACCAACACGUGGAGUUGUCAGCAGAGCGAUUGGGCUUGAAGGGGUUUCAACGUUUAUUGCUGGAGAACGUUAACAGAGAACAUACACACCCUCGAAACAACCAAAAUGGGCAGCAGGAGGGCUUUGCAGCUUGGGGCAGCCGUGUUAGUCAUCUUCUCCUUCUUUGGUAAAAUCGGAGCUCUCCUAGCCUCUAUACCUCUUGCCUUGGCCGCCUCUGUUCUGUGCUUCACCUGGGCGCUAAUUGUCGCGCUUGGUUUGUCCACAUUGCGAUACACCCAAGCAGCACGCUCCAGGAACAUGAUAAUAGUUGGAUUUACCCUGUUCAUCUCCUUGUCGAUACCCGCAUACUUUCAGCAGUAUGAACCCAGCUGCAACCUAAUCUUGCCCAGCUAUCUUCUUCCAUAUGCUGCAGCGUCAAGUGGGCCAGUUCGCACAGCCAGCAGCGGGCUGAACUAUGCAGUGAACGUGCUCCUAUCCAUCAACGUUGUGGUGGCUCUCCUUGUCGCGUUGAUCCUUGACAACACAGUGCCAGGCAGCAGACAAGAGCGCGGUGUGUACAUUUGGACAGAUCCCAAAUCCCUCGAGGUGGAUCCUGCGACAUUGGAACCCUACCGAUUGCCGGAGAAGGUUUCGUGCUGGCUCAGGUGGGCAAAGUGUGACAAGGUUUUGCUCUUUCUCACACAACAUUGAAUUAUCUCAAACUCAUAGCAGGGUACUUUAUUCGCCACUUUAUUCACCUCAUAACCAUUAGUGUUCA